rnacentral:rRNA from 1 species
GGCAGCGCGGACAUGCGGAUUAUUCGAUGCAACGCGAAGAACCUUACCAAGGCUUGACAUGAACCGGAAAGACCUGGAAACAGGUGCCCCGCUUGCGGCCGGUUUACAGGUGGUGCAUGGUUGUCGUCAGCUCGUGUCGUGAGAUGUUGGGUUAAGUCCCGCAACGAGCGCAACCCUCGUUCUAUGUUGCCAGCGCGUGAUGGCGGGGACUCAUAGGAGACUGCCGGGGUCAACUCGGAGGAAGGUGGGGACGACGUCAAAUCAUCAUGCCCCUUAUGUCUUGGGCUUCACGCAUGCUACAAUGGCCGGUACAAAGGGUUGCGAUACUGUGAGGUGGAGCUAAUCCCAAAAAGCCGGUCUCAGUUCGGAUUGGGGUCUGCAACUCGACCCCAUGAAGUCGGAGUCGCUAGUAAUCGCAGAUCAGCAACGCUGCGGUGAAUACGUUCCCGGGCCUUGUACACACCGCCCGUCAAGUCACGAAAGUUGGUAACACCCGAAGCCGGUGGCCUAACCCCUUGUGGGAGGGAGCUGUCGAAGGUGGGACUGGCGAUUGGGACUAAGUCGUAACAG